UGCGUAGGCGGGCAAGUAAGUCAGGGGUGAAAUCCCACGGCCCAACCGUGGAAGUGCCUCUGAUACUGCGAGUCUAGAGGGGGACGAGGGGCGAUGCGGAACUUCCGGUGGAGCGGUGAAAUAGCGUAGAUAUCGGAAGGAACACCGGUGGCGAAAGCGGCGUGCUGGAUCCCUACUGACGCUGAGGCACGAAAGCCAGGGGAGCAAACG
rnacentral:rRNA from 1 species